ensembl:lncRNA
UGUGUGAGUAGAGUCUUCUCAGACCAGGAAUCCAUGUCUGGAGGAGCCGUGCUGAAGGAGCUGAUGGAGAUGCCGUGCUGAAGGAGCUGAUAGAGAUGCCGUGCUGAAGGAGCUGAUGGAGGAGCCCUGCUGAAGGAGCUGAUGGAUGAGCCCUGCUGAUGGAGGAGCCGUGCUGGAGGAGCUGAUGGAGGAGUCGUGCUGAAGGCCCUGCCUGGUGGAGGAGCUGGUGGAGGCCCUGCCUGGUGAAGGACGUCUGUCGUGGGACCAGGACUCUGUCUGAGGAGAGCUGCUGGAGGAGCUGAGACCCUGGAGGACGACUAGGAAUCGACCAACAAGGAUUCCUUAACGUGUUUCUGGAGCGGAGGCGAGCUGGUAGGGGAGCCGUGAAUCUGGAGGAUGACCAUCACUCUACCAACAAGGAUU